UGUAUCCGUUCUUUGUCAGGCAUGAUAAGGAUGGUGAGUGAACGGAAGCCCGUGAAAGUCGGGCACGGUCGCGCCACUGUAACCGGAUACGAGUUCCCUUGAGUCACCGGUAGAGCCGGGAAGACGGGAACAAGGAUUGAUGCCGGAAGUCAGGAGACGUUGCUCACGGUCCCAUGGAGA
rnacentral:ncRNA from 2 species